GGAGAGGUGGCCGAGUGGUUGAAGGCGCACGCUUGGAAAGUGUGUAUACGAGCAAUCGUAUCGUGGGUUCGAAUCCCACUCUCUCCGCCA
rnacentral:tRNA from 3 species